GAGGGUAUAGCUCAGUGGUAGAGUGCGUGCUUAGUGUGCAUGAGGUCCUGGGUUCAAUCCCCAGUACCUCCA
rnacentral:tRNA from 1 species